rnacentral:rRNA from 1 species
GUGUCAGCAGCCGCGCGGUAAUACGGGAGUGGCAAGCGUUAUCCGGAAUUAUUGGGCGUAAAGCGUCCGCAGGCGGCCCUUCAAGUCUGCUGUUAAAAAGUGGAGCUUAACUCCAUCAUGGCAGUGGAAACUGUUGGGCUUGAGUGUGGUAGGGGCAGAGGGAAUUCCCGGUGUAGCGGUGAAAUGCGUAGAUAUCGGGAAGAACACCAGUGGCGAAGGCGCUCUGCUGGGCCAUCACUGACGCUCAUGGACGAAAGCCAGGGGAGCGAAAGGGAUUAGAUACCCCUGUAGUCCUGGCCGUAAACGAUGAACACUAGGUGUCGGGGGAAUCGACCCCCUCGGUGUCGUAGCCAACGCGUUAAGUGUUCCGCCUGGGGAGUACGCACGCAAGUGUGAAACUCAAAGGAAUUGACGGGGGCCCGCACAAGCGGUGGAGUAUGUGGUUUAAUUCGAUGCAACGCGAAGAACCUUACCAGGGUUUGACAUCCUGCGAAUCUCUUGGAAACAGGAGAGUGCCUUCGGGAACGCAGUGACAGGUGGUGCAUGGCUGUCGUCAGCUCGUGUCGUGAGAUGUUGGGUUAAGUCCCGCAACGAGCGCAACCCACGUCUUUAGUUGCCAGCAUUUAGUUGGGCACUCUAGAGAGACUGCCGGUGAUAAACCGGAGGAAGGUGUGGAUGACGUCAAGUCAUCAUGCCCCUUACAUCCUGGGCUACACACGUACUACAAUGCUACGGACAAAGGGCAGCAAGUUCGCGAGGACAAGCAAAUCCCAUAAACCGUGGCUCAGUUCAGAUCGUAGGCUGCAACUCGCCUACGUGAAGGCGGAAUCGCUAGUAAUCGCAGGUCAGCAUACUGCGGUGAAUACGUUCCCGGGGCUUGCACACACCGCCCGUC